rnacentral:rRNA from 1 species
CAAUAGCGUAUAUUAAAGUUGUUGCGGUUAAAAAGCUCGUAGUUGGAUCUCGGCGAGUAGGGGGCGGUUAGUUGCUUAACUGUACUGCUCCAUUUACUCGUGUUUUUGACGGAGGUUGCCGGGUGCUCUUCAUCGAGUGUCCGGUGAUGCCGUCAGGUUUACUUUGAAAAAAAUAGAGUGCUCAAAGCAGGCUUCACACGCUUGAAUAUUCGUGCAUGGAAUAAUAGAAUAGGACGUCGUUUCUAUUUUGUUGGUUUUCGGAAAUUGACGUAAUGAUUAAUAGUGACAGUCGGGGGCAUUAGUAUUCAAACGACAGAGGUGAAAUUCUUGGACCGUUUGAAGACUAACUACUGCGAAAGCAUUUGCCAAGAAUGUUUUCAUUAA